rnacentral:lncRNA from 1 species
UUUUUUUUUUUUUUUGGUAUACACUUCUCUAGCCAUUUCAAAUAACAUACCGGAAGCACUUGCUCUUAAACCUUUCAAAGUAGAAUGGCCACCAAUAUCAAGAGUCUCUAUGUUAUCUUUGCAAUUAUAUCCAUUGCAUCCAUUGUAAUAGCUUCAGGUAACAAAUUAACUUCAUAACAUGAUUUUAUUCUAUUUUAGUGAAACAUGUAUGUCAAAUGGUUUUUGGGAUACAAAUUAUUUUUCCUCUUUGAAAACCAUUUGUUUUAAAAUGCAUAUAUAGUCAAAAGUUUCCUAACAAUAUUAGUUAGAUAUAAUAUAUAUUUUCAAUAAAUUGUUCAAUAUAUAUAUAUAUUGUCUUUCUUGAUUAAAUGUUAUUUCACUGUGCAUUUCGCUUAUGUAUUUUCAAUUAUAUUCAUUUUCUGUUUUGUGUUUCCUACCAUAGCUAGCUCCAAGUUUAUUUUACAUUUUAUAUCAUUUAAUAAAUUUUAAAAUUUAUCAUAAAAUAAUUACCAUUUCAUAUUCAAUAGAACCCUAAAUCCAUAGUCCCCGUGAGCUUAACUUAGUUGAUAGACACUUAUUCACCUUUAAGGUGGAAUUUCUAGCCUCUAUACUAGUAAACAAAAAAAAGAAUCGUAAAUCCAUAUAACCGCUUGUGCUCAAGGAAUAUUGAGCAACAGUAUUUGAAAGAAUCAUUCUUUGAAUAUUUAUUGUAUUCAUAAUUUGCAUGCACGUAUAAUUUCUAAUGAUGUUUUGUUUAACAACAGGAACUAGUAUGACUAAAAAAAUUGUUUGUGCUCCUAAUGAUUAUGGAUGUUGCAUCACAUGUGCAAUCUAUGGAUUACAUGGCAAAUGUUACAAAAAUAAAUGUUGUUGCAGUGUAAGCACGGUCCAAGGGGCAAGCAACCGUGACUUUUGCUUAUGGCCUCCAAAUUUAGCUUUUUGCCGAAAAUAGUUAUUAUUGGGUAUUAAUAUUAGUAUAAAAUUGAUUUUUGUGAGCUUUGAAUUGAAAGUAUAAUUUUUUAUUGUUCCUAUCACUAAGUUUGGGUUUUCUGGUGAAGGCCUUAUUCUCGUUUGUGUUUGUGAAAUUUUGAGAUCUUGUUAUGCUAUUUUCUUCAAUUUUAUUCCCCAUAUUUGUUUUCACAAUGUUACUUCAAUGGACUGAAUAUGAUGUUCAUAUAAUGCAAUACGUAGAUUCAAGAA